AUUGAACGCUGGCGGCAGGCCUAACACAUGCAAGUCGAGCGGAUGAUGGGAGCUUGCUCCUGGAUUCGGCGGCGGACGGGUGAGUAAUGCCUAGGAAUCUGCCUGGUAGUGGGGGACAACGUUUCGAAAGGAACGCUAAUACCGCAUACGUCCUACGGGAGAAAGCAGGGGACCUUCGGGCCUUGCGCUAUCAGAUGAGCCUAGGUCGGAUUAGCUUGUGGGUGAGGUAAUGGCUCACCAAGGCGACGAUCCGUAACUGGUCUGAGAGGAUGAUCAGUCACACUGGAACUGGGACACGGUCCAGACUCCUGCGGGAGGCAGCAGUGGGGAAUAUUGGACAAGGGGCGAAAGCCUGAUCCAGCCAUGCCGCGUGUGUGAAGAAGGUCUUCGGAUUGUAAAGCACUUUAAGUUGGGAGGAAGGGUUGUAGAUUAAUACUCUGCAAUUUUGACGUUACCGACAGAAUAAGCACCGGCUAACUCUGUGCCAGCCGCCGCGGUAAAAC
rnacentral:rRNA from 1 species